UUGACCUUUUCCCAGUCGCUUCAAGCCGAAGGCGAAACCAAAGUCCCGCUACCGCCGGCCAGUUCCAGAAAGCUGGUCAUCGCCUGCCGCCUUUCGGGUCUCUCAAGCCAGCCUUCGACGAUGAGCCACCCUCCUCCGGUUCUCAAGCCUUAGCUGUCGUUGCCAUUGCGAUCCUGCUGCAGCAGCACAGCCGCCUCCCUCUGUUGUUGCAUAUGCAGCAGUAGCAAAUAAUCAUCGACACAUGGAUGCUUGAAUCUUGAUGAUAUUGAUAUGGACCUCACUCCUUUCAAGUUGGAUGCUGAUGAACUUCUAGAUGAGUUCACCGAGGGUAACUAUACCACACUGGCAGAUAUGAAGAGGGUGUGGAUGGCCAAGAAGUUCUCUUAUAUUUAUGAGGCUAAACCUACUUCUAAUGAAGCCUUCUUUAUGCAGUCACUUUACUCCUAUUCUAUUCGUGCAUUGUUAAGGAGAUUGGGUGGUCUCUAUUGCCUUUACUGCCUCUAUGAGACUCAACCAUAUAAACCUGCCUUCAAAAUUUAUUAUCUCUUUAAGCUACUGAUACGAUGGAUAUCGAGGAUGCAAAACACAUUAUAGAAGACAAUAAGUUGGUGGGAGACAUGGUAGAUGAUAUCGUGAAAGACUGGGAUGCUCAAAAGGAGACAUUUUAUAAGCAGACUAGCAUUAUUAUCCACAACGAAUUAGGUGGCGAUCGAUGAUUUUGAUGAGUUGGAACACCUCUUAAACGAGUGACAUACAUCUCAAUAUUGACAACCUUUGAACAUGCUUUUGCUGCCAAAAUAUUGGAGUUUCCAUUCUCCUCAGUUGACUUCUGACCUCCAGUAGAUCAAUGCUUCACAAAGAGAGACUACAUACAGUGCAGGAUUCGUCCUCAUCGACAAACAAUUGGUUCUGUCCACGAGCUGAUGCUCAUGAACUCGGUUUAAGUGAUGAGC